rnacentral:sRNA from 1 species
AGCAGGAUUAAAGCUUCAUUAAAGAAGCCUAAGAAACAUGUUACUUUUUCCAAAUAUUUGGCAGUGACCCAAGGUCAGCAUUGGUUUCCCACUAUAUACGCUAUAACCUUCUUGUUUCUCUCUUUUAUUUAGGGGCCAUUAAGUUUAAUGAUGGCCUGAGCUUACAGGAAAGUUGCCGCCUUAUUGAAGCUCUGUCCUCAUGCCAGCUGCCAUUCCAGUGUGCUCACGGGAGACCUUCUAUGCUGCCAUUAGCUGACAUAGACCACUUGGAGCAGGAAAAACAGAUUAAACCCAAUCUCACUAAACUUCACAAAAUGGCCCAGGCCUGGCGUCUCUUUGGAAAAGCAGAGUGUGAUGCAAGGCAGAGCCUGCAGAUGCCUCCCUGUGAGCUACCAUGAGAAGAGAAUCACUGGUCUAAAAGGAACAAAGGGAUGUCCACUGUAUGCUCUGAGCAGAGAGCAGCAGCAGCAGGUACCAGCAUGGCCCUGACUGAAUCAGCCCGGUGUCCCUGAGCAUCUUAGACAGCAGGGCUCUCUGUAUCAGUCUUUCUUGAGCGGAUGAUUCCUCUAGUUGAGUAGCCAGAUGAAAUUCAAGCCUAAAGACCAUUCAUUCAUUUGCAUCCAUGGACACAGAAGGUUGCUAUAUAGUGCCUACCUUUUGCUACUUAUUUAAUGAUAAAAUUUAAUGACAGUU